rnacentral:rRNA from 1 species
GACGAACGCUGGCGGCGUGCUUAACACAUGCAAGUCGAACGGUGAAGCGCCUUCCUUUUUGGUGGGUGUGGAUGAGUGGCGAACGGGUGAGUAACACGUGAGUAACCUGCCCCCUUCUUCUGGAUAACCGCAUGAAAGUGUGGCUAAUACGGGAUAUUCUGAGUCUGUCGCAUGAUGGGUCUGGGAAAGAUAUUGUUUCGGUGGGGGAUGGGCUCGCGGCCUAUCAGCUUGUUGGUGGGGUGAUGGCCUACCAAGGCGGUGACGGGUAGCCGGCCUGAGAGGGUGGACGGUCACACUGGGACUGAGACACGGCCAAGACUCCUACGGGAGGCAGCAGUGGGGAAUAUUGCACAAUGGGCGCAAGACUGAUGCAGCGACGCCGCGUGAGGGAUGGAGGCCUUCGGGUUGUGAACCUCUUUCGCCAGUGAAGCAGGCCUGCCUCGUUUGUGGGUGGGUUGACGGUAGCUGGAUAAGAAGCGCCGGCUAACUACGUG